AUAAUGUUUUUAUCAUACCAGAAGUUUUUACACUCUAAGAAAAUGAACCACAGCAAAUAAAAGAUAUUCUUUGUUUCCAAAAUGAUUCUAUUUUUCCUCUGAUAUGCUGGGAUCUUUUAUAUGAGUCAAUUUGGGUAGAUGGUAUUUUGAAACUCUUUAUCCCGAUUUGGAGUCAACUAAUCACUUUUCUGUCUGAUUGAAUCUUGAAUUUAUUUUUCAAAUUCUUUUCAGUUGACUCUCUAUAUAUCUCU
rnacentral:lncRNA from 1 species